UGGAGAAAUUGGGAAGCAUUUUAGAGAGA
rnacentral:piRNA from 2 species